ensembl:lncRNA
GGAUCCAUGGGGUUUAAUGUGCCAAGGGUUCAUCUUUCCCAUGAGCGUACCAAUCGGAGUUGGUUACAACUCCUGGCUCUGCCGAACUAACUGCGCUCUGGCUUGGGGACAGUGUCCCUCAGCGCAAGUCAGGGAGUGUUUCAGAGACAGCCCUUCUGGGUAAGAGGAGGGUCUGAGUUCUCCCCUGGGAGGUGCUGGGGCUGUGUCCCAUCCAAUCACGUGAUCGCUCUGCUCUGGCUCCCCCUGCAGGUGGGGUGGGUGCGGCCCAGGGCCUCAAGUUGGAGCUGAAAUUGGGCCUGGCACCCUGGAAGUCCGCUGAGGGAUGGGUCCCUUAGGAGGGACAGGAGCAGCUAGCAGCUGAGGCCGGACAACUUCCCAGAGCCAGGGGCGGGCAGAGUUAACUCCAAGAUCUAAAAACAUCAAGUUCCAGGACGGAGUACCCGACCUUGAGAAGUCUAGGCUGCUCCCCCAGAACACACACAGCCCUGACUCCCCUUGACAGGAGGCCGGCACCGUGUACCAGGACCAUCACCAGGGUCCAGGCUUGGGUGGAUGAAGACAGCCCAGCCCAGCAUGGAGGCCGGGAAGGCGGGCCUGGAGUCCGUCACUCAUUCCUGAAAUGACCAGAAGGCGGUUCGAGGGACCUCCAGGUGCUGAGCUGCUGCUGACAAAGCACGGGUGGGGGUGGGAGAGAGGCGAAGAGGGGGAAGGCAGGGGACCCACACCAGUUUCAAAGGCAGUGAGCCACUGCAGGGGCCAGGCGCUUGGCUGGCUCCACACGCCAUGCGCUGGCCCCAACCCACCUGGCUCAGGCCUCUCUCCUCUGCUUUCCUGAAGGCUGUGCUUGGGUUUUCAGGGCCUGCUCCCGUCCUACGAUGACACCAUCUCUUGGGCCCUCACAAGAGCGGACUCCCCUGGCCCUGGGGCGCAGGGCCCUUCCCCACUUGGCUCACCAAGUCCAAAGGCCUGGGCCCCACUGUCCAGGGCUUCCUUCCCCAGCCAGCCAUCCGCCUACCCGUCCCUGCUUUCAGGACUUUGGGGCCUGUGCCCUGAGGCAGGAGACUAGGGCACUGCAGGCUGGCUGAAAAUAGGUUUCGGAUGUAACCCAAGCCUGACUGGAGACUGAUCAACAGGAUGUGAUGUGUAGCAUCACAGCCAGGCUGCGUGGGCAGAGCAGCUUCCUCCCAGUCAGAGUCUGGGGAGGAUCCGAAAGACAGUGGCCACUGACCGCUGCCUCUGAGACCCUGCUGUCCCGAUGCUUCCUGUUUUUGCAGUGGCCAUCCUGCACCCGGUCCGUAUCUCUUCUUGCUGUUCUCUUCUGCACUUUCCCUUUCUUUCUCUACCUUAAAUGAAAGUUGUGUCCACCCAUUCAUCUGCUGUCCCUGCCAAUUCUUUGGGCAGGACAGGAAGAGCCUGGGGUCCCCAGGACCUGGCACCAUCCAGCCGCAGCCUGGGACCCAGCAGCUCAUUCCCAGCUGCUGUCUGUGCCUGAUAUCCCUGGACUUCGCACACAGCAGGAGGAGGGGCCCUCUGACCAGGGGCCGUGUCCCUCCCAGCCCAGGCCUCCCGGAGGCCCAUCUGUGUCAGUUUCCCAGGGUGGUGGUCACAGAUGACAGCAGAGCUGUCUUCUCGCACAGUUCUGCAAGGCAAGGCUGAAAUGGAGUGGCGGCAGGGCCCCGUCCCGACCCCCCUGCCUUCCCCAGCCCCUGACCCCUGGCCACUGCAGUCUUUGCCUCUGGCUUUCCUGGUCUCCCCUCUUUCCCCACGUCUGUCCUCUGCAUGUCACUGCAAAAGCCCUUGUGUUGGAUGAUCGGCUGAGCGCAUCUCGAGGCUCCCUGGGGUGACUGCACUUGCAAUUUCACACACUGGUAGGCUCCUCGGAUAGGACUCCAGCACAGGCUCUUGGGGCCACCACUCGACCCCGACAGCAUCUCCUGAGACACUCCCAGGUCACGGCAUGGCUGCCGCCAUCCUGCCUCCCCCCGCCGUCCCUCUGGCUCACGGGGUGCUCCAGCCCCGGGGCUUCCUGACACUCUUCAGGGCCGGUCACCGGUCUGGCACCAGGGGAGGCCUCCUCCCACCGCGUCAGAGUGCACCUCAAACACUCCUCUCCAUGCUCCAUCUGCCCCUGAUCACCACCGCGGAGCCAGUCACCGCUUCAUCUUGUUCUCCUCCCCCCUGCAGCAGAAGCCAGGGAAGUUUGUAAGUUCUGCCUUGUUCUUGUGGUGCUGGGGAUUGAACCCAGGGGCACUGAGCUACAGCCCCAGCUCUUUGGUUAAGUUUUUACUUUGAGAUGGGGUCUUGCUAAGUCGCCCACGCUGGCCUCUGACUGCAGCCUCCUGAGUAGCUGGGAUGGCAGGUGUGCGCCUGCCUCACCCGGCUAAAUCCCACUGCUGUGUCCCAGCAGCCAGUAUAAUGCCUGGCACUGGCUGGCUGUGGCUGAGUGGAUGAAUAAGCAAGCCUUUGCCAGAGCUGAACUCUCAGCUGCCAGGAGUCCACGGCCACCUGAAGAUCACCACAGCUCCCUGCAGGCCUCCGCUACCCUUGGACUCUCUGGGGGCUCCAAUCCCGGCGUGGCCGCCUUUUCAAGUGCACGAGUCCGGAGAGGGGCCAUGUGGGUCUAGAACAUGCUUCCUCACGCACAGCACAAAGCAGCUGUGGGCCUUGACCCUUCAGCGCCCCUCCUUCCUGGCCCGGCCCAG